rnacentral:lncRNA from 1 species
UAAAGUACAGGCCACAUUUGAGGAGGCUGUUGUUGGCUUGAAUUUCUGCUUCUUGAAUGUCCCAUAGCAAUGAGGAGUCAAGUAGCUAAGUGAUCACAACUCUCAGUCAAGCCUUUCAUGAUUCUCUACUGGUUACCCCAAUAAUCUGGGUGGGAGCUCUCUUCGUGUACCUGCUCCGUUAUAUGCGACCGUCCAAGGUAAAUGCCUCCAGGUUCAGUGAUUCCUCCACUCCCUUAAAAUCAGAUGACAAAUACUAC